UCCAUGACGCUUCAAUUAUAUAAAAUAUUUUAAUCUUUCAUAAUCACAACUUAAAAGAAAUCAUUUGCAUAAUCUAACGAUAGGAACAAGUGAGGAAUUGCCAAAUGAUUGAAUCUAAUGUAUAUUUUGUAAGGAAUUGACGAUAACUCCUGAAGAUGCUGUAUAAACACAGUGAAACCGGUUGAGUGAAAAUU